UACGUAGGGUCCAAGCGUUGUCCGGAUUUAUUGGGCGUAAAGGGUGCGUAGGCGGCACGGUAAGUCAGAGGUGAAAUCCCGGAGCUCAACUUCGGAAUUGCCUCCGAUACUGCCGUGCUUGAGGACUGGAGAGGAGAUUGGAAUUCACAGUGGAGCAGUGAAAUGCGUAGAUAUUGUGAGGAACACUAGUGGCGAAGGCGAAUCUCUGGACAGUUCCUGACGCUGAGGCACGAAGGCCAGGGGAGCAAACGGG
rnacentral:rRNA from 1 species